rnacentral:rRNA from 1 species
AACGCUAGCUACAGGCUUAACACAUGCAAGUCGAGGGGUAACGAGAGGGAAGCUUGCUUUCCUUGUCGACGACCGGCGGAUGGGUGAGUAACGCGUAUCCAACCUGCCCUUCAGUAAGGGAUAGCCUUUCGAAAGAAAGAAUAAUACCUUAUGUGGUCGUCAGAAGACAUCAGACGACGAUCAAAGAUUUAUCGCUGAAGGAUGGGGAUGCGUCCCAUUAGGCAGUAGGCGGGGUAACGGCCCACCUAACCUACGAUGGGUAGGGGUUCUGAGAGGAAGGUCCCCCACAUUGGAACUGAGACACGGUCCAAACUCCUACGGGAGGCAGCAGUGAGGAAUAUUGGUCAAUGGCCGUAAGGCUGAACCAGCCAAGUAGCGUGCAGGAUGACGGCCCUAUGGGUUGUAAACUGCUUUUAUGCGGGGAUAACGUGCACCACGUGUGGUGUAUUGCAGGUACCGCAUGAAUAAGGACCGGCUAAUUCCGUGCCAGCAGCCGCGGUAAUACGGAAGGUCCGGGCGUUAUCCGGAUUUAUUGGGUUUAAAGGGAGCGUAGGCUGGUGUUUAAGCGUGUUGUGAAAUGCCGCGGCUCAACCGUGGCACUGCAGCGCGAACUGGUUUCCUUGAGUACGCACAAAGUGGGCGGAAUUCGUGGUGUAGCGGUGAAAUGCUUAGAUAUCACGAAGAACUCCGAUUG